UGGGGAAUCUUGCGCAAUGGGCGAAAGCCUGACGCAGCAACGCCGCGUGCGGGAUGAAGGCCUUCGGGCUGUAAACCGCUUUCAGCAGGGAAGAAGCUUUUUGUGACGGUACCUGCAGAAGAAGCGCCGGCUAACUACGUGCCAGCAGCCGCGGUAAUACGCAGGGCGCGAGCGUUAUCCGGAAUUAUUGGGCGUAAAGAGCUCGUAGGCGGUCGAGUAAGUCGGUUGUGAAAAUGCUGGGCUAAACCC
rnacentral:rRNA from 1 species